rnacentral:tRNA from 1 species
GCCUGGGUGGCUCAGUCGGUUAAGCAUCAGACUUCUGCUCAGGUCAUGACCUCGUGGUUUGUGGGUUCCAGCCCCACCUCGAGCU